CCAGUGGAUUUCUGCACCAAAACCCAAUAGGGCCACCACUACCCUGACACACUUGUGACAGAAGGCUAAACAGAAUUUAGAAAAGACUUAGCAUAGAGUUCCUCAGAAAUACAGAAAUUUCCUUUGGAGCCCUCAAAGCACUGGAGAAGAUCCCAGAUUAUGGAGGCCCUCACUCUCCAAGGGGAGUGUCCUGGCCCUCACAGUGGACAUGAUGGACAAUCACUGGAGCUGAAGGAGAAUCCUUAGGCAGUGUAAGAGCCUGAUAAUGUUGAAGAGCAGACAUUGCUUUGUGAGAGUGAGAGAAGUAAAACUAGGCUUCUCGACUAAUUUCCAUUCAAGGAAAGCUACUCGAACCACAUUUUACUCUCUUCCUCCUUCACAUUUGGACCUCACCUGUGUCAUUUGCUUCAUUCAGGUCCACCUACCUGGGCAAAACACCCCAUGGGCACAGUCUCCUGUGACAGAAACAGAAAGUAGCCAACAAAAGGUAAUGGCUGCCCUGAGGAUUGGCCUAGUUUGAGCUUAACUCCUGACUCACACCUAUGCAGAUGGACCAAGGAGUAACCCAGGCUCCUGAUUACUCAUUACCGUUACUCAUUAUAACACUAAAACCUCCACCCAAGGAGGAACACAGACCUCAUUUAUACAAGAUACUAAGUAUGUAAAGAACUGUUACCUUAAGGAACAUGUGUGACCUUAUGCCCACUUCUGUAUAAUAUGACAAGGCCUCUCUUUCUAAAUAUCCACCCUAACCCUAAAUAAAAGGAAACCAUUCCCUUCCCUC